GAUGAACGCUGGCGGCGUGCCUAAUACAUGCAAGUCGAGCGAACAGACGAGGAGCUUGCUCCUCUGACGUUAGCGGCGGACGGGUGAGUAACACGUGGAUAACCUACCUAUAAGACUGGGAUAACUUCGGGAAACCGGAGCUAAUACCGGAUAAUAUAUUGAACCGCAUGGUUCAAUAGUGAAAGACGGUUUUGCUGUCACUUAUAGAUGGAUCCGCGCCGCAUUAGCUAGUUGGUAAGGUAACGGCUUACCAAGGCAACGAUGCGUAGCCGACCUGAGAGGGUGAUCGGUCACACUGGAACUGAGACACGGUCCAGACUCCUACGGGAGGCAGCAGUAGGGAAUCUUCCGCAAUGGGCGAAAGCCUGACGGAGCAACGCCGCGUGAGUGAUGAAGUUCUUCGGAUCGUAAAACUCUGUUAUUAGGGAAGAACAAAUGUGUAAGUAACUAUGCACGUCUUGACGGUACCUAAUCAGAAAGCCACGGCUAACUACGUG
rnacentral:rRNA from 1 species